GACGAACGCUGGCGGCGUGCUUAACACAUGCAAGUCGAACGGAAAGGCCCUGCUUUUGUGGGGUGCUCGAGUGGCGAACGGGUGAGUAACACGUGAGUAACCUGCCCUUGACUUUGGGAUAACUUCAGGAAACUGGGGCUAAUACCGGAUAGGAGCUCCUGCUGCAUGGUGGGGGUUGGAAAGUUUCGGCGGUUGGGGAUGGACUCGCGGCUUAUCAGCUUGUUGGUGGGGUAGUGGCUUACCAAGGCUUUGACGGGUAGCCGGCCUGAGAGGGUGACCGGCGACACUGGGACUGAGAUACGGCGCAGACUCCUAUGGGAGGCAGAAGUGGGGAAUAUUGCGCAAUGGGCGGGAGCGUGAUGCAGAAACGCCGCGUGCGGGAUGACGGGCUUCGGGUUGUAAACCGCUUUCGCCUGUGACGAGGAGUGAGUGACGGUAAUGGGUAAAGAAGCACCGGCUAAAUACGUG
rnacentral:rRNA from 1 species